rnacentral:rRNA from 1 species
AUUGAACGCUAGCGGCAGGCCUAAUACAUGCAAGUCGGACGGGAUUGGGGAGCUUGCUCCCCAUGAGAGUGGCGCACGGGUGCGUAACACGUAUGUAACCUACCCUUGUCAGGGGGAUAGCCUCUCGAAAGAGAGAUUAACACCGCAUAACAUUAUUGGAUGGCAUCAUUUAAUAAUCAAAUAUUUAUAGGACAAGGAUGGGCAUGCGGGACAUUAGCUAGUUGGUAGGGUAACGGCUUACCAAGGCUACGAUGUCUAGGGGAUCUGAGAGGAUGGCCCCCCACACUGGUCCUGAGACACAGACCAGAGUCCUACGGGAGGCAGCAGUAAGGAAUAUUGGUCAAUGGGCGCAAGCCUGAACCAGCCAUGCCGCGUGCAGGAAGACGGCCCUACGGGUUGUAAACUGCUUUUGCGCCGGAAUAAACCCUUUUACGAGUAAGAGGCUGAAUGUACGGCGAGAAUAAGGAUCGGCUAACUCCGUGCCAGCCGCCGCGGUAA